UAGUAACUGGAUCAUAGGAAAAACUAUAU
rnacentral:piRNA from 1 species